rnacentral:misc_RNA from 1 species
AUUUAUUAAUACAAGUCUAAGUUCUAGACAUUUUAUUGCUUAUUUCAAAGGAAACAUCCUUCUAUAUAACAUGAGAAUCAACGAUAAACUAACGAUUAUUCUCUUAUUCAGACAUCCUUUGCAUGAGUCCGGUAAUUUACAUAUGAUCAACAAUAAAGCACGCUACUAUCUGACCAUCUUUGUUAAAUUUAUUUAGAUUAAGAACAAGCAUGAGAUGAUGGUGAUACAAAUGAUGGCCAAGGUGGCAACAAUUGAACCGUGCUCAAAUGCUUUCUGCAAGUUGCCUAAGCGUGAAAAAUGCUGGAAAGCCAAAUAGCCUGCAAUCACCAAGGCAAUAAUAGCACCUUCUUGUGUUUCCCUCAGGUUCAAUACUUGAUAGGGGGCCACAAUUACCAAGAGUAGUGCCAUAAACGGCAACUCAAGUUCCCCAGGAACAAAGAAGAAGAGGCGGACAAGAAGUGCUAUGAAUGCCGUCCAAAUGCCAUAAUCACCCUUAAUCCAAGAAAUGACGCUUGAUGGUGCCUGCAGAGCUAAUAACGGAACAAUAAAAGACUUAUGGAUUGCAGUGCCCUUGGCAAGCAUCAGAACCGCAGAGGAGAUGGUGGAGAUCCACUGAAGGUUACGAGCAGAGAUAGGCCCAGUGUAACAAACCGCACCAACUCCACCCCCUCUAUUUUUCAUUAACAAAUCAUUUCCCUUCACCGAAACUCUGAGAGGAUUGACGCCGCGAGAGCUCGAAACUCGUCGAGGUACAGCACAAGAGAGCUUACACUGGUAACAAGAGAGCCUCUUGUUGCUGCUGUGAGGAGCGAAAGAAUUUAUCGCCGGCAAUUGGCAGAGACUCGCCAUAUCUCGCUUCUGGUUUCUAGUUUGCGUAAAUUGUCGUGUCUCUCGGUUCGACGGCCAAAGAAAGCAGGACGGAGAGAAGAUCAGAA